rnacentral:rRNA from 1 species
CCUACGGGUGGCAGCAGUGGGGAAUAUUGCACAAUGGGGGAAACCCUGAUGCAGCGACGCCGCGUGAGUGAAGAAGUAUUUCGGUAUGUAAAGCUCUAUCAGCAGGGAAGAAGUUGACGGUACCUGAGUAAGAAGCCCCGGCUAACUACGUGCCAGCAGCCGCGGUAAUACGUAGGGGGCAAGCGUUAUCCGGAUUUACUGGGUGUAAAGGGAGCGUAGACGGCAGUGCAAGUCUGAAGUGAAAGCCCCGGGCUUAACCCGGGAAUUGCUUUGGAAACUGUACGGCUGGAGUGCUGGAGAGGUAAGCGGAAUUCCUAGUGUAGCGGUGAAAUGCGUAGAUAUUAGGAGGAACACCAGUGGCGAAGGCGGCUUACUGGACAGUAACUGACGUUGAGGCUCGAAAGCGUGGGGAGCAAACAGGAUUAGAUACCCUUGUAGUC